AGGGUUAAGGUUACUCUACAAAUUCUUCUCUUGUCUAAAAGUUUGACAACAAAAGAGAAGAUGGAGAAGGGUUUCUUCAAGGUUUUCUCCCCUAAAAGGAGCUCAAAGCAGCUGGAACAUUGAAAGAUGACACAUGAGGCAAACAGGGCGGUGAUGGAGGCGUCUAGGCCAAGUGUGGAGAAACUGAGCCAAGCCUCUGUUAAACCUACUAUAUAUCACAAAACACUUUCAACUGAAACUGAACAUGGUGCAGUUGGUUCAAUCUCAAAGCCAAUUUCUGGGUAACCUACAUGAAGACUCCCGCAACACAUAAUGAACUUUAUGGAGAUCACUGACAAUUACAACUUCAAAGGAGUGACUUCAAGACUAUAUUUGGAUGACUUUGUUCCCAUUCUCUUUGUUGGGAGAGGGCAAAAAAAAAUUCAACAAGCCUACAAAUUUCAACCACAAAUGAGAUAAUCUUGUUCAAAAGUUCUUGAUAAAGUUCUUUCCUUCUUGAAAGACUAAGGAGCUCAUGAGUAAAAUUGUGGGGUUCGUACAGGGCAAGGGGAAACAUUGUAUGAAUCCUGGGGGCGAUUUAUGCAAUUGCUAAGAGAUUGCCCUCAUCAUGGGCAGUCUAAUUAGAUCUUGAGCCACAUUUUAUGGAAAAGUUACAUUAUGACAUGAAGAUUCUUCUC